rnacentral:rRNA from 1 species
GCCUAACACAUGCAAGUCGAACGAGAUCUUCGGAUCUAGUGGCGCACGGGUGCGUAACGCGUGGGAAUCUGCCCUUGGGUUCGGAAUAACAGUUAGAAAUGACUGCUAAUACCGGAUGAAGUCUACGGACCAAAGAUUUAUCGCCCAGGGAUGAGCCCGCGUAGGAUUAGCUAGUUGGUGGGGUAAAGGCCUACCAAGGCGACGAUCCUUAGCUGGUCUGAGAGGAUGAUCAGCCACACUGGGACUGAGACACGGCCCAGACUCCUACGGGAGGCAGCAGUGGGGAAUAUUGGACAAUGGGGGCAACCCUGAUCCAGCAAUGCCGCGUGAGUGAUGAAGGCCUUCGGGUCCUAAAGCUCUUUUACCCGGGAUGAUAAUGACAGUACCCGGGAGAAUAAGCCCCGGCUAACUCCGUGCCAGCAGCCCGCGGUAAUACCGGAGGGGG